rnacentral:rRNA from 1 species
ACUCCUACGGGAGGCAGCAGUGGGGAAUAUUGCACAAUGGGCGCAAGCCUGAUGCAGCCAUGCCGCGUGUAUGAAGAAGGCCUUCGGGUUGUAAAGUACUUUCAGCAGUGAGGAAGGCAGGUACCGUUAAUAGCGUGCUUGUUUGACGUUAGCUGCAGAAGAAGCACCGGCUAACCUCCGUGCCAGCAGCCGCGGUAAUACGGAGGGUGCGAGCGUUAAUCGGAAUUACUGGGCGUAAAGCGCAUGCAGGUGGUUUGUUAAGUCAGAUGUGAAAGCCCGGGGCUCAACCUCGGAAUUGCAUUUGAAACUGGCAGACUAGAGUACUGUAGAGGGGGGUAGAAUUUCAGGUGUAGCGGUGAAAUGCGUAGAGAUCUGAAGGAAUACCGGUGGCGAAGGCGGCCCCCUGGACAGAUACUGACACUCAGAUGCGAAAGCGUGGGGAGCAAACAGGAUUAGAUACCCUGGUAGCUAC